GCCGGACAAGGAUAAGGUGGCUACGAAACAAACAAACAAACCAAGUUUAUCCUUUUUUUUUUUGAAAGUUUUGUCUAAUUGUUUGUCACAAUGUUUGUUCUCUGUUUAUUGGUCAAAAAUAAAUUAAAUAACAUUAGAUGAAUUUGAUUUUCAAGAAGUUAUAUUUUAGUACUUUUACUUUUUUUUUACACAAUUAAUUUUUAAUAUAAGUUUAACUACGACAAAAGCUCAUUUUGUGCAUGACUCAUUUGUUAUUAUUAUUAUUUUUUUUUAGAAUUUCUCUCUCUUCAGAGAGAGGAAACUUGCGAAGUAUAUGUCUAGGUCAAUUCAAGAAUAUUGGCCCAGACAGCCCAUGUGUUUUAGGGAGCAAGGUGUGGGCUUAACCUGGGCCCUCUAUUAUUUUUCAACUUUUUCAAAUAUUAGGCCCAUAGCCUACAGUUUCUCUUAAAAUUUGAAAAUAUAAAAAUUUUCACUUGAUUUGAAAAAUAAUUUACUAAAAACCAAAAUAAACUAUUUAAGAUUUUUUUAAAGUAAAAAUAGUUUAUUUUUUAAAGAUAUUUUUUGUUGUAGUAAUUUUUGAGUUUUUUCGUUUUUAAAUUAAAAUUUUAUACUUUUUUAGUUCGUUUCGACGAAAAGAAUUUAUAAAUGUAAAAAAAAUUGUUCAAAUUUAAAAAAAAAAAAUUACCAUUGAGUUACUCUUUUUGCCUAUUCUGUCAUCUGCUUAAUUUCCUAACUAAACAGGCUUAGAACCAAGAGAAGACUAAGACAAGCAACUUACAAGUAAGAUUUAUGACGUUUAUACAUCUAUAUAAGACUUCAUAACAAGCUCUUUGGUGGCAAGAAUGUUUGGUUUGUUGCAGCAUAUGUGAUUGUUUAUGACGCUGCAUUGUAUGGGUAGAUAGCAUGGUAGUUCUCUCAAAUUUACAAUAAGAUUCAGUGGUUUGUAGUCCGCCUGGUUUCUUUAGGUGUGUUGGAUUAGGAUUGGGCAAAAGGAAAGGAAAAGGUGAAGAAUCUAAGGGAUCAGAUUGAAAUCUUUUCCUUACUUAUUUCUCCCUCACAAAUCUCUCUCUCAAUCUUCAUUCAAAAUACAGCCUUAGCGUCUUGGUGUGUUGGAAUCAUGGAUUGUGGAAUGGGGGGGAUUUUUUAGUCACUAAUUGCUUUCUUUCUACAAACCGCUCCACGAAUACAUGAACCAAACACGGUUAAGUAGUCGUCAAUCGAGGCUAGCCACACAGACUGAAACCAAAUCUUCUCAACCAACCGAAAAAUCAAAAAAAACUAAACAUUGUGAACGUUUGGACGUGAAUAGGUCUGUAAUAGAAAUCUGGAAGAUUGAUAGAUGACUGGAUGAACAAUGUUUCUUCAGGAGUAUAAAGCAUAGGUUAUAUUGUGAAUUCUCAUGGCUGUGGCGCCUAUGCAGGAAUAUCUGUGUGGUAAAUACAAUGUCUGCCAUUAACAACCUAAACAUGAUAAUCUUGCAAACAAAAUUCGUUACCCACGUAUUUUAUUUCUUCAUUGUUGUCACUUUCUGAAUCAAAACUUGUAAACAUUAGCUUUUAUUGUCUUCAUUUCAAUUUCCUAGAUGGAUGGAAAAACACAAUUCCUUGAACAUUCAGAGUUGAGUCAAACCCUCUAAAUUGUUUUUGUUUCACAGGAAGAUUUGGGACUGCAUGUGACAAGAAUGAGACACCUUAAUCACAUGACUUUGUGUGAUGGUAAUAGGAAACAAAAGUAUUACUGAUUCAAUAGAGCUGAAACUUAGUUACUGAAUCUUUUCCACAGGUUUCAGGAAACAAAAGUAUUACUGAUUCAAUAGCGCUCAGCUUGGUGGCCACAGCCUUGCUUGCAAAAUGUGCAAGUCUGUAUCUAUAUACAAUAGCCAUUCAAAACAUCACUCGCUUGUUUUACAUGCACAAGUGCCAAUUCUUAGUCUUAAAAUUACUCUUCUGGGGCAUUUUUUAAAAAUGCUUAGAGCGAUUUUUUUAUAAACAUUUUGCAAUUAAAGCUUAAAAAACAGCUCCAUUAAUGUUCCAAUUAUUGUCCAAGUAGUUUCUCUAGAGUGUAUUAUAAGUUUUCGUUUAAUUUAUUUUCAAAAAGUAUUAAAAAAGUAUUCGAAACGUUUCCACAAAGUAUCAGUAUGUUUUCCUAAAAUAUUUAAAAGAGUAUUGUAUCCGUAUUAAGAACCUGUUUCCCCUCUUCAAUUAAGUAAAUAUUCUGUUUUUAGAAUGGUGGUUGGUUUGCUGAUAUAAUUUCUUUCUUUUUUUUCCCUAAAAUUUUCUUCUCUUGGGGUGCAAUUUUGAAGACUUCAGCAGUUGAGUGAUAUAACCUAUUCUGGAUUAUGGGAACAUCAACGACGGAUCAUGAAAACCUGAGUUUGCAGUCAUAGGUGGACGGGACACCGGCAUUGUGCUGAAUCGUUAGGUAGCCUUCUGAUUACUCUACAACACCCCGAAAGUCUACCAUACUAAGCCUAACGGUCAAAUGUUCUAAUGCAAUAUCG
rnacentral:lncRNA from 1 species